GACAGAGGGUGCAAACGUUGUUCGGAAUUACUGGGCGUAAAGCGCGUGUAGGCGGCUAUGCAAGUCGGAUGUGAAAGCCCUCGGCUCAACCGGGGAAGUGCACCCGAAACUGCAAAGCUAGAGUCUCGGAGAGGAUCGUGGAAUUCUCGGUGUAGAGGUGAAAUUCGUAGAUAUCUGGAGGAACACCGGUGGCGAAGGCGGCAUCCUGGACCAAUAUUGACGCUGAGGAGCGAAAGCUAGGGGAGCAAACGGG
rnacentral:rRNA from 1 species